rnacentral:rRNA from 1 species
UACGUAGGGUGCGAGCGUUGUCCGGAAUUAUUGGGCGUAAAGAGCUCGUAGGCGGUCUGUCGCGUCGGUCGUGAAAACUUGGGGCUUAACCCUGAGCUUGCGGUCGAUACGGGCAUGACUGGAGUUCGGCAGGGGAGACUGGAAUUCCUGGUGUAGCGGUGAAAUGCGCAGAUAUCAGGAGGAACACCGGUGGCGAAGGCGGCAUCCUGGACCGGUAUUGACGCUGAUGCGCGAAAGCCAGGGGAGCAAACGGG